rnacentral:rRNA from 1 species
GUUAGGAAUAUUGGACAAUGGGCGCAAGCCUGAUCCAGCCAUGCCGCGUGAACGAUGAAGGCCUUCGGGUUGUAAAGUUCUUUAGCCGAUGAUUAUAAUGACUGUAGUCGGAAAAUAAGCCCCGGCUAACUUCGUGCCAGCAGCCGCGGUAAUACGAAGGGGGCGAGCGUUAUUCGGAAUCACUGGGCGUAAAGCGUGCGUAGGCGGUCUCGUAAGUUAGGAGUGAAAGCCCAGGGCUCAACCUUGGAAUUGCUCUUAAAACUGCAAGGCUAGAAUCUCGGAGAGGAUAGCGGAAUUGUCAGUGUAGCAGUGAAAUGCGUAGAUAUUGACAGGAACACCAGUGGCGUAAGCGGCUAUCUGGACCGAUAUUGACGCUGAGGCACGAAAGCGUGGGGAUCAAACAGGAUUAGAAACCCUAGUAGUCC